AUCGAACGCUGGCGGCAGGCCUAACACAUGCAAGUCGAGCGAGCGGCGGACGGGUGAGUAAUGUAUGGGGACUGCCCGAUAGAGGGGGAUAACUACUGGAAACGGUGGCUAAUACCGCAUACUAUCGGAUAACCCAUAUGGGAUUAUCUAGUAGGUGGGGUAAAGGCUCACUGAGGCGACGAUAGCUAGCUGGUCUGAGAGGAUGAUCAGCCACACGGGGACGUGGACCAGGCCCAGACUCCUACGGAGGCAGCAGGGGGGAAUAUUGGACAAUGGGCGCAAGCCGGAUGCAGCCAUGCCGGUGGUAUGAAGAAGGCCUUAGGUUGGUAAAGUACGUUCAGCGGGGAGGCGUUACCCGCAGAGGAAGCACCGGCUAACUCCGUGCCAGCAGCCGCGGUAAUUC
rnacentral:rRNA from 1 species